CCUUUGGAGCAUUAUAUCAAACAGGAGUAGCUGGUUUUAAAGCGAAACUGGAUGCGAUGAAUUAGGAA
rnacentral:ncRNA from 1 species